GCUGGGCAUGGUGGUGCGUACUUGUAGUCCCAGCUACUUGGGAGGCUGAGGCGGGAGGAUCACUUGAGCCAGGGAAUUCGAGGUUGCAGUGAGCUGUGAACGUGCCACUGUACUCCAGCCUGGGCGACAAAGUGAGACCCUGUCUCAA
rnacentral:SRP_RNA from 1 species